ACCUCUUCCAAAGUAGGGUUGGAGGGGGGUCUGGUGCCACCAGCCGCGGUAAUUCCCCUCCAAUAGCGUAUAUUAAAAUUGUUGCAGUUAAAAAACUCGUAGUUGAAUUUCUGCUGCAUUGCUUGUGUCCCUCCGGGGUCUGUGCAUGUGGCUUUUUUCGGACGGAGUUUCUUUGUCUGAAUGUUUACUUUGAGAAAAUUAGAGUGCUCAAAGCAGGCUUUUGCCUUGAAUAGUUUAGCAUGGAAUAAUAAAGUAGGACUUUGGUUCUAUUUUGUUGGUUUUAGGUACCAAAGUAAUGGUUAAUAGGAACAGUUGGGGGCAUUCGUAUUUAACUGUCAGAGGUGAAAUUCUUAGAUUUGUUAAAGACGAACUACUGCGAAAGCAUUUGCCAAGGAUGUUUUCAUUAAUCAAGAACGAAAGUUAGGGGAUCGAAGAA
rnacentral:rRNA from 1 species